UACGAAGGGGGCUAGCGUUGUUCGGAAUUACUGGGCGUAAAGCGCACGUAGGCGGUUAGUUAAGUUAGGGGUGAAAUCCCAGGGCUCAACCCUGGAACUGCCUUUAAUACUGGGUAUCUUGAGUUCGAGAGAGGUGAGUGGAAUUCCGAGUGUAGAGGUGAAAUUCGUAGAUAUUCGGAGGAACACCAGUGGCGAAGGCGGCUCACUGGCUCGAUACUGACGCUGAGGUGCGAAAGCGUGGGGAGCAAACAGG
rnacentral:rRNA from 1 species